AACUCAAAGGAAUUGAUGGGGGGCCGCACAAGCGGUGGAGCAUGUGGUUUAAUUAGAAGCAACGCGCAGAACCUUGCCAGCCCUUGACAUCCCGAUGGCGGUUACCAGAGAUGGUUUCCUUCAGUUAGGCUGGAUCGGUGACAGGUGCUGCAUGGCUGUGGUCAGCUCGUGUCGUGAGAUGUUGGGUUAAGUCCCGCAACGAGCGCAACCCUCGCCCUUAGUUGCCAUCAUUCAGUUGGGCACUGUAAGGGGACUGCCGGUGAUAAGCCGAGAGGAAGGUGGGGAUGACGUCAAGUCCUCAUGGCCCUUACGGGCUGGGCUACACACGUGCUACAAUGGUGGUGACAGUGGGCAGCGAGACCGCGAGGUCGAGCUAAUCUCCAAAAGCCAUCUCAGUUCGGAUUGCGCUUUGCAACUCGAGUGCAUGAAGUUGGAAUCGCUAGUAAUCGUGGAUCAGAAUGCCACGGUGAAUACGUUCCCGGGCCUUGUACACACCGCCCGUCACACCAUGGGAGUUGGUUUUACCCGAAGGUGCUGUGCUAACCGCAAGGAGGCAGGCAACCACGGUA
rnacentral:rRNA from 1 species